GGCUCCAUAGUUGAAACACAACAUUAAAUUGCAGCUUUAAAGGUAUAAUUUUAUUGGGGCUU
rnacentral:tRNA from 1 species